CGCGACGCGCCGCCUGAGGCCCCGCCCCUCCGCUCCGCGCGCCGGGCCCGGUACUGUCCCGAGUGCUGCCGCAACAGUCCCUGUGCACCGAGGUGCCUGUCCCGCCACUCUCACCGCCCCGCCGGCGACCGCCGCUGCCUUUGCGGCGCAAGGUCACGCUCGGGAUGAGGAGGCCUGGCUGCAGGGCCCUCGCCCCCAGAAACAGGGAGAGCAGCAGUGCGUUGCCGGGGAGCGAGGCAGGCCGUGCGGGGGCUGGAAGUGCGAUACGUAGCUGCAGGUUUAGCAGCUCCUCCUGGAAACGCUCACCGCGGGCUUCAACUGGGAAAUCCCUGGAAAACUGGCGAGCUAUGUGACCGUGGCUGUCAAUUCCCACUGACGUCCUGUAACCACUAUGCAUUUUCAAUGGGUUCUUCGUACUCCAUUCUUUCAGUGGCCCACCUUAUGGCAGAAAAUAGUCAUGCUCAGCAAAAAGCUGAAGGAUCACAAGGAUCGAGCUCUCAUAUUUUUCUUCAAUGGCCAGCAUCUGAAGAGGACUCUGUCCAUUCUGCUUUCAAACCCAAUCCACGAAUUCCUGAAUCUGGUUCCUGUUUGCCACUGAGUUGGUUCUGUCACAGCAUCAGUGAUGACAGUAACUUCCUGCCAUCAGUGCUUUGGGUUUAUAUAUAUUUGUGUAUGUUUUAUUUUAUUGUUACUCUUUUCAUUAAAGCACCUUCAGAUUUAUUUUCCAAUUCACAA